UACGUAGGGUGCAAGCGUUGUCCGGAAUUAUUGGGCGUAAAGAGCUCGUAGGCGGUUUGUCGCGUCUGCUGUGAAAACCCGAGGCUCAACCUCGGGCCUGCAUUCGAUACGGGCAAACUAGAGUAUGGCAGGGGAGACUGGAAUUCCUGGUGUAGCGGUGAAAUGCGCAGAUAUCAGGAGGAACACCGGUGGCGAAGGCGGGUCUCUGGGCCAAAACUGACGCUGAGGAGCGAAAGCGUGGGGAGCGAACAGG
rnacentral:rRNA from 1 species